rnacentral:rRNA from 1 species
UCGAACGGCAGCACGGAGCUUGCUCUGGUGGCGAGUGGCGAACGGGUGAGUAAUAUAUCGGAACGUACCCUAGAGUGGGGGAUAACGUAGCGAAAGUUACGCUAAUACCGCAUACGAUCUAAGGAUGAAAGUGGGGGAUCGCAAGACCUCAUGCUCGUGGAGCGGCCGAUAUCUGAUUAGCUAGUUGGUAGGGUAAAAGCCUACCAAGGCAUCGAUCAGUAGCUGGUCUGAGAGGACGACCAGCCACACUGGAACUGAGACACGGUCCAGACUCCUACGGGAGGCAGCAGUGGGGAAUUUUGGACAAUGGGCGAAAGCCUGAUCCAGCAAUGCCGCGUGAGUGAAGAAGGCCUUCGGGUUGUAAAGCUCUUUUGUCAGGGAAGAAACGGUGAAAGCUAAUAUCUUUUGCUAAUGACGGUACCUGAAGAAUAAGCACCGGCUAACUACGUGCCAGCAGCCGCGGUAAUACGUAGGGUGCAAGCGUUAAUCGGAAUUACUGGGCGUAAAGCGUGCGCAGGCGGUUUUGUAAGUCUGAUGUGAAAUCCCCGGGCUCAACCUGGGAAUUGCAUUGGAGACUGCAAGGCUAGAAUCUGGCAG